rnacentral:rRNA from 1 species
GAUGAACGCUAGCUACAGGCUUAACACAUGCAAGUCGAGGGACCGGCGCACGGGUGAGUAACACGUAUCCAACCUGCCCUUUACUCGGGGACAGCCUUUCGAAAGAAAGAAUAAUACCCGAUAUAAAGGAUGGGGAUGCGUUCCAUUAGGUUGUUGGUGAGGUAACGGCCCACCAAGGCAACGAUCAGUAGGGGUUCGGAGAGGAAGGUCACCCACAUUGGAGAAGGGACACGGACCAAGCUCCUACGGGAGGCAGAGGUGAAGAAGAUUAGGCAAUGGACGCGAGCCUGAACCAGCCAAGUAGCGUGCAGGGUGCCGACCUAUGGGUUGUAAACUACUGUUGUAGGGGGAUAGGUACCAUACGAAUAAGGACCGGCUAAUUCCGUGCCAGCAGCCGCGGUAAUUC